ensembl:lincRNA
AGAAGGCAGUGUCUUCAGGGAAGGAGCACUCCAAGCUGGUCCUCUGACUGAUAAUGCUGUCCUGGAAUGUGGUGAGAGUAAGGGAGGGUGGGGGAGCUGCUCUCUGACCGGUGAUAAAGCCUUUCUUGUCAACGUAGGGUGCCGGAAACGAUUGGAUGAGUAGCUUUCCCUUUCUGAGCCUCAGUUUCUCUUUCCUGUGGAACAGAUGUGAGAGGGUCCUGGCUUAGGCCUCCCAUGGUUCACCUCGCCUGGAUGUCUGUGGGAAAGGAGUUGCCAGGCCCAAGUUCCAUCUGCACAAUUUCCCCCUCUCUGGGAAAUUGCAUCCCCCCCCUCAGUAGACUAUCCCUUUAAGGUUGGGCGGGGCCUGCUGGACACUGGCCCAUGAGGAAGCACUGAAGCGGGCCACCAGAGUCCUUGAGGUAGUUAGUGGCUAUCCAAGGACUAGGAGACCGUGGGUGGGUGGCUUCCCAGUGGGAUCCCCAGCUGCUGGGCGGGGUGACAAGGAGGGGAGGAACAACCUCACUGAGCCCUGAGCUCAACCUUACUGUGGAUGAAAGCAGGGACCUCAAGGAGCCCGGGAAGUGCUAAGGGUACAGCUGUGGAAAGCUACCAGAACCUCUCCAGAUGGUCGCGUCUGCAGAGCUCAGCCACCAGGCCUUCUAGUGUGCUGGGUUCUCUCCCAGUCCAGCCUGAUGGCUGCAUGCCAGACAGGCGGCAGAGGCCGGGCGGCCUCUGCUGUGCGUUACUGCAUGACGGUUGGUUGGCGCGGUGGUCCUGGUGGUUGGGACACUCUGCUUUGCAUCAUGGAGCGUAGGUAAUGCUGCUGUCCAGCCUGGCUCACUGCCCGCCACCGUGAAACAGCCAUCACCCGAGAUGCCCCCGACUUGGCUCAAGGCUGUCAUCUUCCUCUGCGGCAGCAUGGGUGGUCUGCUUGUGUUCUUUGGCCUGCUUUGGUCCAUCCAGAAAAGGACAAAGAAGUCAAGCCAGGGGGACUUCUACCGACUCUCCAGAGACCUGUACCGCCUUGCUGUGGAGUGUCCUGUGAAGGAGACCUAUAGGUCAGUGUGGGGGGGCAAGGUGGGGACUUUGGGUGAUCCAUCACAGCCACACUAGCCAGUGUUUGUUCAGCAAAUUCUCAUGAGAUUCCUCCACUGGACAAGGCCUUGACCUGUACCCCUAGGAUGUGGGAACAGACAGGACAGAGACAAGUGACAAACCAGAGUAGAGUCCAGACGUUGUCCUACAGAGAUGGGGAGAAAUCUGGGAAGCCUUGCAGGAGGAGGCAGCAGCCAAGCUCACCAGAGAAGCACAGGGGCCGAGAACCCAGCAUAGGAAGGUUCCCUGAGAAACAAGAGGGCACGGCCAGGGCCAGGUCCUGGCCUGAGUGCCUUUUCCAUGUCCCUAGUGCUGUGACCAGGACUUCUCUGUUUGUGGAAGAGGAAGCCAGGUACAGAGACCUUAAAUAACUUGCCCAAGGAUACCCAGCUGUAUGUCAGAACUGGGACCUAAAUUCCAGCCACUUUGCUGGGAACCAGUGCUCUCCAUAGUUCCUUGACUCAGGAGAGACCAGGGACAAUGAAGGAGUUGAUAUGAGGGAGGAGCUCACAGUAGGCGGGCCAGCACACAGUGGGAGUGUUGGAAGUGACACCUUCUCCUGACCUACAAAGGUGGGUGUAGGUGGGGUGAGGUGGGGGGUUGGGUGGGCAUGGGGAGGGGGUUGGGUGAAGAUAGAAAGAAACGAUUGGAUCAAAGCAGUUCUCAGCCUGUUUUUCCAUUGCUGUGAUUCCCCAGCCUUUGAACAUGAAAUGUGUGAUCCUCCUGUCCCAAGGGCUGGGAUUACAGGCAUGCGCCUCCAUGACCAGCUUUUCAGCACAUCAUCUUGUAAUCUGAUCCCCAUAGAUGUGCUGUGGUCUGUGUAUGUUGUAUGUGUACAUUUGUGUUUCAUGUCUGGGGACCAAUCUUGCCCUGUAAGGAGUCUGGUCAUGCAUAUUGUCACCGAGUACUCAUUUAUUCUACAAAGCACCCCUUGGAUCCGGAGCCUGCAUGCGUUCUCUGCCCUCUGCCUGCUUGUUCCUUUAUGCUACUGGGAGCCACCAUUGCUGUCUGUAGGAGGCUUUUUCUGUCACAUGCAGCUCACAUGGGUGAGUCUGUGGUCUGCAAGACUGUGUGACCUCUGCACUUCUGCUCCAUGAGGAGCUAACUUGUGCUCCUUGGAACUGGUGGGGGGUCUACCUGGAUGUUUUUCUUUCCUUUGCUGGUAGACAGUGUCUUCUGGAGUGUCUUGCUAUCAUAGCUCUUUGAGACCAGACACAACAUUCAACAGAUAGUCCAUAUAACCAGACUUCAAGUGGGAUGUGAUAGGACACACCUACAAUCCAGCUGAGAUAGAAUGAGUGAGUUCCAGGCCAGCCUGAGCUACAGAGCUGAACCUUGUAAGGUUUUAAGAGACCAUCAUUUGUAUCCAGCCAAACUUUGCUCUUCUCACUGCAGGACCUCAACACGGGGGAUGCUCCACCAACGGUGUGGGACGAUGCACCCACACACAUCCCCCGAGCUUUGUCUCCUAGGUAACUAGAUCUCGCCAACGCUGAAGAUCAACCAUCCUCCCUCUCUCUCUAGCGUGCUGCUGGGCUCCUGAGAGAUGACUGUGGUGGGUGUGCAUUGCACGCGGCCUGCACCCUUAGCUUCCCCUGCUCUUCCUCAUCGCAGUCUUGGUCUUGAACAGGCUUGAGCCUGGGCUGCUCACAGGGAGGAUGGAGGGAUUAGACCUGUUUUACAGACGGGUAAAGUGUGGGGUAAGCAGGAGCUCUUCCGUUAGAGAGGCGGACUGCACACUCAGCUGACGUGCUCUCCACUCAUCCCUCUGUGAGGUGGGUGGGGCUUCCUCCUGCUCUACUGGGUUUGCUCUCUCAACAGAAAGCCACUGGGGUCAGCAUGGAGCCUGUCUCCUGCCCUAACAAGGCCAUCUUGAUCUCUGUGCGUGACCACGCCCCAUCCACAGAGCUCUGUGCUGAGAGUGUGCUAGGAGCCUCCCAUACACUAAGACAGGACCUCGCAAAGGCCCAAGUUCCCUGUAUUCUUGUAACUUAACCUUGGAGACUUAGGUUUGAUGAGCUACUGAGGUGACAGGCACUGGUUUCAGGGUUGCUGUGCACCUGCCCUCUAAGCAAACUUCCUGUUGUGGGCUGAGCUUCCUGUGGUUCCUGAGCCCUAGCCUGCUGGAUGGCACACACUGGGAUCUGUGCAUCUGAGCCCUUAUGGGCUUCUCCACAGGAUUACUGCCUCUCCCCAUCCCAGGUCCCCAAGCUGGUUGCCACCCUCACAGCAGGCCACCAGGAGGCAGGCUCACCCUCCUGGUCUCAGAGCAGCUCAAAGAGCAGUGUGGGGACUCCGUGGACAACAAGAAGUGGGGACAUGCCAGAAGAUGUCCCAGGGGAGUUUCAAAGUGGGGAGUGGUGGCAGCAAGAAGUGCGGGGAAGAUCACAGAGGUGGAGGAGUAUGGGGAGGAGUAUGGGCAGGAGGGAGAGCUGAUGUUGGCAGCUGCCCCAGCAAGCUUCAUAAGGAGAUUCCCCUGUCCCCCUGGCACGUAGGAGAGUUUUGAGUUGGUCCUGCUAACAGCCUCUUUCCUGUUCCCACAGGCCUCCCAAGGAGGCUGCCAUUCCCACUUAUGAGGAGACCAUGUACUACCCACUGGCUGAGGGUCCCCUGCAAUUUCCUGUGCAGCCUGAAGAAGACCUCCAAUGCCACACCCCAGAGGGUGCCCAGCUGGGGUCGACAUCCUUCUCACCCCCGCCCAGCUACAAGAGCAUCCUCCUCGCUCAGGGGCCUGUUUCUGGAUCAAGUGCCGCAGGCUCCAGCCCUGGUUGAGCUCAGGCUGCAGGAGAGUUACAGGUCUCCAGCAAGGCUGUGAAACUGGCCCCUAACCAGUGAGCUUUGCUUGCUUGGGCCUCCACCAGGACUGGGUUCACAGCAGGCACUCAACAAGAGGUCUACUGCUGGGGCUGUUUAUGCAUCCGUUGCUGUGUGAGCAUGAGUUGGCUUUAAAUAAACCCCACUUUAUUAUGUCUC